AACUAAGUUUGUUAUUGGUGUGAGCUUUCGUGUGCAUGCACACUUCUUUGUACCUGAAGAAAUGUGCAUGCACACGAAAGCUCAUACCAAUAACAAACUUAGUAGG